GGGCAUGUAGCUCAGUUGGAUAGAGUAUCAGAUUCCGGUUCUGAGAGUCGGGGGUUCGAAUCCCUCCAUGCUCA
rnacentral:tRNA from 2 species